rnacentral:misc_RNA from 1 species
GAUGAAGAACGCAGCGAAAUGCGAUAAGUAAUGUGAAUUGCAGAAUUCAGUGAAUCAUCGAAUCUUUGAACGCACCUUGCGCUCUUUGGACAUUCCGAAGGGCAUGCCUGUUUGAGUAUCAUGAACACCUCAACUCUCACGGCUUGUCCGUGAUGAGCUUGGACUUUGGGGGUCUUGCCGGCCUGUGGUCGGCUCCUCUCAAAUGGAUCAGCUUGCCAGUGUUUGGUGGCAUCACAGGUGUGAUAACUAUCUGCGCUUGUGGUUUUCCAUCAGAUAACCUUCAGUGAUAUGGAGGUUCGCUGGAGCUCACAAAUGUCUCUCCUUAGUGAGGACAGCUCUUUGAACGUUUGAUCUCAAAUCAGGUAGGACUACCCGCUGAACUUAAGCAUAUCAAUAAGCGGAGGA